GUGACUCUGGAGAACGCUCCGAAGGGAGCUGCCGAAGGUGCAAAGCGUGCGGCGGGGAACCGCAUGCCAAUCUCUCAGGCAAAAGGACAGAGUGCG
rnacentral:ncRNA from 1 species